rnacentral:ncRNA from 1 species
CCGGCUCCGGUUCACGUCCGCAAGUGCGAAAUGCACGGGCGACCCGGCGGCC